AGAAAAAGAAAAAGAAAGAAAGAAAGAAAGAAAGAAAGAAAGAAAGAAAGAAAAAAUAAAGUAAAAAAAAUGCUUUGGAUUAUCUUUACUACAUUUAAUAACCUCAUCUAUGAUGACCUCCCCCUUGUCAGAGCUUACAUGUAUUUGUUUACUCCCUAAAUCACUUAACUUUCCUAAGAUUAAUAGCUGGAACUAUUCAUCUCAGUUAAAAAUGUACAUUUGUGAUGGGUGGAUUUUUGUUGGUAUUCGUUCUAGCCAGUGUGCAAGAAUAGACAAGAACAGGCUUCAUAGGCAUGUGAAAUCAUAUCAACUACCCAUUUCUUUUACCCAGGAUUUUGUUCUGAAAGAUGAAUUUGUGAAGCCACCAUUCUUUUUUCUGUUUCUCCAAGUUCUGUGUGUAUGGUGGGAAAGGAGGGAGGAAUGUGGGUGAUAAAGGUUUGACUUGCAUAUAAAAUACUGCUGGAACUGUGUAUAUGCUACUAAUUCAAUCCACUGCCUCCCCAAAGUCACCCGAAUGCCAUGUGGUAUUGUCCUGACAGUCUAUCGGCGUUUCCCAAACCAAACCCGUCAUCUUUCAAUCUUCCCGUUGCCAAACCCGCUCUAGAGGUUUAAGUGUUUACAGAUUAUAAUUUAAAUAAGUUUUGUUUAUGUUCAUUCUAAGUUAACAUGAAAUGCUACCUUUUAGUGGCAUGAUUAUCUAGCUGGUAUUUUUGAACCCCACUAAAUUUCUAGCUGCCAUUUUCCUCCCUUUAUGAAAACUUUGCUUUUGAGUCUUUAAUAUAGCUUUAGUCAUGCAGUUAAAUUGUGAUUUGAGAGCUUGCAGAACUUUAAAGAAAUACAAUAAUUGCUUUAAGUAAAGUCUUGUAAUAACCCGGCUUCAAUUUCAAUUCAACAUACCACUCCUCUCUCCAUCUGAGGUUUAAGGAUGAAAUUUCGUGGAUUUCUUUUCUUUUAUUGAUUGCAAACUGAGGUAAUAUCCAAAAACUUUUCUCGUAUGGAAAUGUGGUAAAGUGCUAUAGGACUUUCAUUCUGGUUUGCUUCAGAAUGAUUUUAACAGCUGGGAGUGGAAUCUAAUUUUUCAGAAUAUAACACUUCUAAAAAUCGAAUAUAUUCUUUUACUCUAGACUCCUUUUGUGGUACUAUUUGAGCAUAUGUCCAUCCAGUCCUAUUUAACAAGAAGAUGAUUUAAUAUAAAUGCAAUACAUGUUGCUAAUAGCCAUUCUUCAGGCAUUCAUAAUACUGUGUAUCCUGUUCUGAAAUAAUAGUCGCUGCUAACCAGAAAUCAGCUUAUGUUCAAACAUUCAGAGACCUGUCACAGUAUAACAUGAAGACUGAAUGCUAAAUUGAUGGGAAUGUGAAAUGAAUACUUCACUCUGUAGCAGGCUUUUAAGGCACUUUAUAACUCAACGAAAGACCAUAAAGAAGAAUUGACUUCAUGUAAAUUUUAAGAUAGAUCUAGGCUGAAUCAAACUCAGCUGAGAGUAUAUGAAAUCCACUCCCGUACUCUAUUCCUUGAACUCAUUAUGAUUUAAGCCUGUCCUGAUUUGUGGGUGCCAGACUCUGAUGUGAUGUGAUAACUAACCCUUUACUCAAAAUGGUGGCCAUGCAUAGGCAUGAACUACCAUUGAAAGGUCAACACCAAACUCCUGUCCCUACAAUUCAAGGGAGACAAGUAAAGGCUUUCUCCCUUCUUUAAUUCCCCAUGUCAUGUAUUAGUCAACACAUAAAGAAAGCUGAGACUUUAUUUCCUCCUUAACCAAUUGGAGAAGCUUCCAAAUGGCUACUUCUAGUAGUGAUAUUUAUGGAACUCCUUAUUAUAAGAGAGUGAGUCUGUCUUUUAACCUUUACUCAAUAACGUAUUUGUAAGUCUAUUUUUGAAGCCUUUUUGUUCUUUUCAAACCAAAGUUGAUGGUGAACUUGAUAAGAGGAUGAAGCAGGUCUGUCCAAUGGAAUUACCUAUGAGCUUCUUGGCCCACUCAGUAUGCUUAGAUUAGAAAAGAAAUUUUAGCUAACUCCCACCAGGUCCUUACAUGUGAUGUUUUAUUCUGUUCCCAUCCCCAAGUUUAAAUAAAAUAACCAAUAUAUCAUGGUUGGCUAAUUCUGUUCUAACAUUGGUUUUAGAAGUCACUUUAAAAUGUUGGAGUUCAUUAUUUCUAAGGCAGCAUUAGUAUUUACCCUAAAUAUUGCACAAUUAACAUUACCUCUUAAAAAAAAGAAGCUUGAAGUAAAGAUGAGGUUUCAUACACUGAGUUCAAAAUCAGUUUCCUAUUGAACAAAAAUGACCAUUUGCUUCUUAAAAAGCAUUGUGGUGUAUAAUGAGAUCUCUUACAAUUUUUAUGAGAAAUGACAUUGGUACCUCUAUUUCAACUUUAUAACCAGAUCAGAAUGUAUACAAAGAUAACAGAAAGAAAAAAAAAAAAAAAGGAACAGGAACCCAAAGUGACAAACACUUCACAAGAAAUGAGAUCGUUACCUAUAUUUCAACUUUAUAACCAGAUCAGAAUUUAUACAAAGAUAACAGAAAAAAAAAAAAAGGAACAGGAACCAAAAGUGACAAACACUUCAUAAGAGAACUUUUACCAAGGAGUGGCUAUAUAAACAACCAUAUUUCCAAGAUCUUUGUUUUUAAAUGAAACAAUUGUUAAAAUACAGGAGAUAGUCAGAAUAAGGAAUGUAGGGUGGAUGCACCCUGUCAUGGGUUGAAUGGUGUUCUGAAAAGGCAUGUUGAAGUCCUACCCGCCCCCCGCACUUCAGAAUGUGACCUUAUUUGGAAAUAGAUUGGUAGCAGAUGCAAUUAGUGAAGAUGAGGUCAUACUGGAUAAGAUGGGCUCCUACAACAAUAGGACCGAUGUCCUUAUAAGAAGGUGGCCUUGUGAAGACACAGGGAGAAUGCCAUGUGAAGACAAAGGAUUGAGUGAUGGAUCUACAAGUCAAGGAACACCACAGAUGGCCAGCAAACCACUGGAAACUAGAAAGAGGGAAGGAUUCUUCUACAGUUUUCGGAGGGAGCGUGGCCCUGCUGACCCCUUCUUUGCAGACUUCCGGCCUCCGGACUGUGAAACAAUACAUUCCUGCUAUGUUAUGCCACUCCGUUUGGAGUUCUGGUAAUUGAAGGAAAUGAAUACACACCCCAACAUCAGCUCUGCUUCUU